rnacentral:rRNA from 1 species
GCUUGUCUCAAAGAUUAAGCCAUGCAUGUCUUAGUGUAAAUAACUCUUAUGAAACUGCGAAUGGCUCAUUAAAUCAGUUAUCGUUUAUUUGAUGGUCCCUUACUACAUGGAUAACCGUAGUAAUUCUAGAGCUAAUACAUGCACAAAGGCCCGACUCACGGAGGGCUGUAUUUAUUAGAUACAAACCAACAUCGUGGUGAUUCAUAAUAACUUUGCGAAUCGUAUGCCUCACGGCGACGAUGAAUCAUUCAAAUUUCUGCCCUAUCAACUUUCGAUGGUAGGGUAUUGGCCUACCGUGGCAAUGACGGGUAACGGAGAAUUAGGGUUCGAUUCCGGAGAGGGAGCCUGAGAAACGGCUACCACAUCUAAGGAAGGCAGCAGG